GACAGCAGCCGCCGCGGUAAUGCGAAGGGGGCUAGCGUUGUUCGGAUUUACUGGGCGUAAAGGGCGCGUAGGCGGACUGAUAAGUCAGGGGUGAAAUCCCAGAGCUCAACUCUGGAACUGCCUUUGAUACUGGGUAUCUUGAGUAUGGAAGAGGUGAGUGGAAUUCCGAGUGUAGAGGUGAAAUUCGUAGAUAUUCGGAGGAACACCAGUGGCGAAGGCGGCUCACUGGUCCAUUACUGACGCUGAGGUGCGAAAGCGUGGGGAGCAAACAGGAUUAGAUACCCGGGUAGUCCCUGUCUCUUAUAU
rnacentral:rRNA from 1 species